rnacentral:rRNA from 1 species
UACGGAGGGUGCAAGCGUUAUUCGGAAUCAUUGGGUGUAAAGCGCAUGUAGGCGGCUGAGUGUGUCAGAUGUGAAAGCCCGGGGCUUAACCCCGGAAGUGCAUUUGAAACUGCUCAGCUUGAGUCUCGGAGAGGAAAGUGGAAUUCCCAGUGUAGAGGUGGAAUUCGUAGAUAUUGGGAGGAACACCGGUGGCGAAAGCGACUUUCUGGACGAUGACUGACGCUCAGAUGCGAAAGCGUGGGGAGCAAACAGG